CAGCAAGAUAGACUGGGGUGCUGGUUCUACCUUGUAACCGCAAAUGAACCUUAUGGCGGAGUUGAAUGCUGGGAGCGGGAUAUUAUUCCUGUUUUGGUCUCAGGCCUUACGUUGACGCUUCGUCCUACAGGGUCGUUAUUUAAAUGAAUCAGGUCAGGCCAGGAAUGGAGCAGCCUUAAAUUUUUGUGAUGGCGCUUGUGGGGGAACGGAGCCGAGGAAAGUCUGGGAGAAGCUAGAAUAGGGGUAAUAUAACAAUUUCAGAGUUCUUGCUG
rnacentral:SRP_RNA from 1 species